rnacentral:rRNA from 1 species
UACGGGGGGGGCAAGCGUUGUUCGGAAUUACUGGGCGUAAAGGGCGCGUAGGCGGUUGGAUAAGUCAGCUGUGAAAACCACGGGCUUAACUCGUGGCCUGCAGUUGAGACUGUCUGGCUUGAGUGUGGGAGAGGAGAGUGGAAUUCCUGGUGUAGCGGUGAAAUGCGUAGAUAUCUGGAGGAACACCGGUGGCGAAGGCGGCAUCCUGGACCAACAUUGACGCUGAGGAGCGAAAGCCAGGGGAGCAAACGGG